CAAAGUUGAAUAAUUUAACCGUUUAACAAAAAAGAUUAAAGUGGGCUUAUACUUCACACUAUCCUCCAGUAAAAAAAAAUCAAAUUGAUCAAAUAUUUACAUGUUUACAAAUGAAAUAAUUUAAUAGUAUAAGACAGCAUAGAUUCAUUUUAUAUUAUCUCAUGUAGGUAAGACUUCUUUAAUCAUAACUCAAUACAUAAGCCAUAAAAGACUGACAAAUUCAAAUUUAUAAAAACGGUGUGCUUGACAAUAACAUGUUUUUAAAAUCAUAACCGAAGUAAGUGACCAAUGAAAAUGUUGGAAAUUGUAUCUGCAGCUCAGACAACUGAAAAAGGACUAAUCUGCUUAUAGAUGGAGAGCUAACAGAAGUGGAGAGACAAAGACCUGUCCACGAGAAGUCUCAUGCCCCUUCCUUCACUCUGACACCUCCUUAACAUGCUCCUGAAAUGUCAGCAUCAUGAGACAUGAGCUACACAAUGAUGCAGUAUGGGAAUUAAGAGCUUGAUGGAGAUACCUCUCACUGGACCUCUCUGAAUCUGGUUCGUCAGAUGCGUGACGCAGCCUGCUCUCCUGUUGUGGAGCUUCUUGCUGAG
rnacentral:lncRNA from 1 species